UAGCUCAGUCAGUAAAGAAUCUGCCUCCAAUGCAGGAGACCCAGGUUCGAUUCCUGG
rnacentral:tRNA from 1 species